rnacentral:misc_RNA from 1 species
UCAGGGUUCAAUAUGCAAUGACACUGAUUUAUCAGUUCUCCACUUGCCUUCCUAUGAUGAGUAUGAAGGAAGGGAUCACUUACAAUACAAGGUAGGAAGUUUGAUUAAGCUUCCCUAUACACAUUCUUGGCAAAAUUUGCUGGAAUAUCCACAAACAUCGAGGAGUAGAGUACAAUGAAGUUUCUUUGGAAAUUCUCAGGAAUUUGUGAGAUAAAGCAGUACAUUCUGAUUUGAUACCAAGAUUUACA